UACGGAGGAUGCGAGCGUUAUCCGGAUUUAUUGGGUUUAAAGGGUGCGUAGGCGGAUUUUUAAGUCAGCGGUAAAAUGUCCGGGCUCAACCCGGGCCGGCCGUUGAAACUGGGGAUCCUGAGUGGGCGAGAAGUAUGCGGAAUGCGUGGUGUAGCGGUGAAAUGCAUAGAUAUCACGCAGAACUCCGAUUGCGAAGGCAGCAUACCGGCGCCCUACUGACGCUGAGGCACGAAAGCGUGGGUAUCGAACAGG
rnacentral:rRNA from 1 species